UUUUUGGAAAAUUUUCAAAAGUUUUCUCAGUUCUCUUCUGUGUCUAUCACUCAAGGAUGGAAGCUGAAGCAACUCCUCUCUUCAUAUUGGUUCCAUGCUUGAUGUAGGCAAGAAACCACAAGAUUUGUUGAUAUGCUUGCGUCGAGGCCAGGUGGCACAAUUCCUGGCUGCUUGCAAAGUUGGAAGUCUAAGGGCAGUUCACACUGUUGCCCAUAUCAACCCUUUGGAGUUUUCAAGCAUCGGCAGUUGAGAAUGUAUUUCUGUGACCCCUGUGAGAGAGUUGCCAAUUCUGUGCUUCUUUAAUUUACCAGCAGCUGCUCUUAAGGCUUUCUUAAACUGCUUGCUUUCAUCAUCAUUUCUAGCAUCACUUCUGCAAAGUGCAAUGUGGAGUGACCAUUUUCAUUGUAUUGCAGAGUAAGGUAUUGGUGAACCCUCAAGAACAAUCUUGUUAUCUCCAAGUAUCCUCUGCUACAAGCACAGUGCAAUGUAUUUCUGUGUUACCUGUGUGCCCCGUUGAUGUGGCAACAUGUAGAGCAGUUAAAUCAUCCUCAUCUUCUUAAAAUUCCAUUAGCCAGGUUGCUUCAUCAAGAGCUUCACCACAUCAAGAUACCCUUUCUCUGCAAGCUAUGAAAAUGCACUUCCGUUAUCAUGGUUAAGCUUAAUAGUUUUCCCUUAACAAUAAGCUUCAUGCAAUGGAGUCUCAAGCUUCUUGUUCACAGUUGCAACCAUUUCAGGAUGAAGCUCAGUGAUAUCCUUUACCAAUUGGUUGUGCCUGAACCUGGACGACAGCUUCAACACCGUGUUCAGGUGAUAAUCAGUUCUUUGUUCCAGAAUUCCUUUGUUGCCUUGAACUAAAUUCACAAAAGCAGCUAUAUCAUGGUUGCAAACUGCCUCAAGAAGCCUUGAGUUUAUUUCCUUUUUCUUAAUUACCUCUGCUUUCUAAUGCUUCUAAACAAAUUGGUUAGUUAUAAUUGUUUACCUCUCUCUAUUCUUUUUUAUUUACUUUUAAUACUAUUGGCCAAUCACGCAAACUUCACAGCGUCUCUUGUAAUUAACAGAAAAUGCAUCUGAUGAAGCAAAUGCCCAAUUGAUGUCUUGUUCAACUUGGUGAGCUGACAUGAGAUCUACAUUUCUAUUUCAUACUAGAUGUUAUUGAUAAUAGGCAUUGUACUAUUCAUAUUUUUCCAUUUACAGACAAUGUUUCUAAAAAGAACUUGUGUUUAAUGAAAGGAAACUUAAA